UUGAAGUAGAUGAAACCAUGGUGCCAAGGC
rnacentral:piRNA from 1 species